rnacentral:lncRNA from 1 species
AAUGGGUGGUUAGCAUCGCAAAUGACCACCUUAGCAUCCUCAAGCUAUCCAUUCACAUCCCCUUUAUAGUAUGGCGUUCCUAUACUCAAAUUUAAAAUUAGAAAUUAUAAACGAGUUUUCUUUUGAGCUUAACAUCAUUCUAUCUUUACAAUUGGGGUUUCUUGAGAUCCUUUUCAUACACCUUUGCACUUCUUUAUAUUUAGAACCUGUUAAUCCCUUGAUAAAAUUAUUAGUCCCCUAACUAUGCAUGUCAUCAACACCAAAACCCACUUAGGGGGUCAAAUGCACUUUCAAUCUCCCCCUUUUUGGUAAUUGAGGACCACACAAUUAGGGCUCACAUGAGGUAUAUAAACAUUUUGAAUGCAACCAUAUAGGUGAGCUCCCCCUUAAUAUGUGCAUGAGAAGAUAGAUGACCUAAAAUGCUACUUGCACAAAUUAAGUGAGCUCCCCCUAUAUCCUUGCAUUCGUGGGGUGCAAAGGUGUGACCAGAAUAUCAACGUCAUGCAUAUGACAAGAUAUAGCACUUCAACAAAGUGGAAAUAAACAUUACAUUAAGUCAUGAUCAACACAAGAACCACACUAGCAUCACAAAUAAGUCUUACAAAUUUAAAAGGUUCACUUGGCACACAUCACACCACACAAGGUUCUUACAUGUCCAAAAGCCAUAACUUAGAAAAGCUCAAAAGAUAAAGAUAUCCAUCCAUGGUGAGCUCACUCCCCCUUUGUCAUCAAGCUCCAAAAAGAGGAGGCCCUUCCAUGGGCCAUCACUCAUCAUCCUCAUCGUCGUCGUCAUCACCAUCAUCCUCGUCUUCGUCCUUGGGGGUAUUGGCCUUGGAGAUAUCUUCUUCUUCUUCUUCUUCCUUGGAGUGCUCCCUCCCAC